rnacentral:lncRNA from 1 species
AUUUUUACUCUUUUAGAACUUUUAGAAUUGAUUAGGAAGAUAUAUCCUGUAUCUGUAGCCAUUUCUUAAUUUUCAUAGAAUUAUUUGUUGAUUUUCAUUUAGUUGCUUAUUGUUUAACCAACUAUCAAUGAGUUUCUAUUUUUUAAUUUUUCUAAAUUUUUCUUGGUAUUAAAUUUUUGAUUUUAAUACCAAGUUUUCAUCGAUGGCCAAACCCAAGAGAUUAAUGCUUUUGAUUAUCAUGCACAGAUUCCUCUUAAUGGGUUCUUGUAGGCAAUCUAGGAAUCUAUACUGGUCUCCAUCUUUUCACAGAGACAAUUUUUCAUCACUGUGUAAAGACAACCUUUUCACAGAAACAGUAGAGAGAUUAUUAUGUUUUAAGCAAUGCUCCAGUCAUUUUCUCUUAGGAAACGUCAUCAUUUUCUCAUGAUGCUUAGAAUUCACAAUGUCAAGCUCAUUCCAACCAAUGAAAUUACCCAUUACAUUGCAUUUUACCAGCACUGUGUAAAUUUGAUUGAAG